rnacentral:rRNA from 1 species
GCUUAACGCGAAGAACCUUACCAAGGCUUGACAUGCAUCUCUAAGCGCGUGAAAGCGCGUGACUCUUCGGAGGAUUUGCACAGGUGCUGCAUGGCCGUCGUCAGCUCGUGUCGUGAGAUGUUGGGUUAAGUCCCGCAACGAGCGCAACCCCUGUGAACAGUUGCCAGCGCGUAAAGGCGGGGACUCUGUUCAGACUGCCCAGAUCAACUGGGAGGAAGGUGGGGACGACGUCAGGUCAGUAUGGCCCUUACGCCUUGGGCUGCACACGUACUACAAUGUCCAGCACAAUGAGAACCGAGACCGCGAGGUGGAGGGAAUCUGUAAAACUGGGCUCAGUUCGGAUUGGAGGCUGCAACUCGCCUCCAUGAAGCCGGAAUCGCUAGUAAUGCUGCAUCAGCUACGGCAACGUGAAUACGUUCCCGGGUCUUGUACACACCG